UGGGGAAUAUUGCACAAUGGGCGCAAGCCUGAUGCAGCAACGCCGCGUGGGGGAUGAAGGCCUUCGGGUUGUAAACCCCUUACUGCAGGGAAGCGGUACCUGCAGAAGAAGCGUCGGCUAACUACGUGCCAGCAGCCGCGGUAAUACGUAGGACGCAAGCGUUGUCCGGAAUUAUUGGGCGUAAAGAGCUCGUAGGCGGUUCGUCACGUCUGCUGUGAAAACCCGAGGCUCAACCUCGGGCCUGCAGUGGGUACGGCGGACUAGAGUGUGGUAGGGGAGACUGGAAUUCCUGGUGUAGCGGUGGAAUGCGCAGAUAUCAGGAGGAACACCAAUGGCAAAGGCAGGUCUCUGGGCCACAACUGACGCUGAGGAGCGAAAGGUGGGGAGCGAACAGGAUUAGA
rnacentral:rRNA from 1 species